UAGCAUUCUUUUCUUGUAGAAAGAAUAAGAACGGCCAACUGAUAAA
rnacentral:snoRNA from 1 species